UACGGAGGGUGCGAGCGUUGUCCGGAAUCACUGGGCGUAAAGGGCGCGUAGGCGGCAUGCCAAGCGUGUGGUGAAAGCCCGGGGCUCAACCCCCGGGUCGGCCGUGCGGACUGGCGUGCUCGAGCACUGUAGGGGCGGGUGGAAUUCCGGGUGGUAGCGGUGGAAUGCGUAGAGGAUCCGGAAGAACACCAGUGGCGAAGGCGGUCUGCUGGGCAGUGGGAUCGGAAGGUCCCUUCGA
rnacentral:rRNA from 1 species